AAUCGAUCAAUACUACAGGCAGUCAGUGAUUAUUUCUACAGCACUGAAAUCGGAUUUGUACAAACAUUCGUGGAAAGGCUUAAAAGGUCCUGGUGAACUCAGCUAAUGGCGACAGGUGUUCGCAAAUCUUUCCCUUUGGUAUUUCUAUUCUUGUUACAGUUACUCGUUGAAAUAGGCUGUCUUGCAGAUCCUAAACUGGCUCGUGUUAGAGUCAAUGGCAAACUAAAGCUUAUUCGCAUCCCUAACAAAGUUAAGCAUUGGUCAACGUCUUGGUCAUCCAACUCACCGAGUAGCAGCUGGUCGACGAACAGCCAUGGUGGGGGUAAUC